UUUCGGUCUCUCUGUCUGCUCUCUGUUGGAUGUGGACGUACAGCUAACCUUUUUUUUUGCUCAGAACUGUAACGCCUAGGAAACAAGGAUCUACAACGAAUCCCAGCAUGGAGUUCACUACGCAGAACACAAAGUGCCCAAGGAACUCGAGGAGAACCAAGUUAAAAGAUGGUUGAACAAAGAUCACACUGCCUGAAGAUGGAUGCUCUGAAAGAUCAUUUGACCCCCUACCUGGGGAGUGCGGGGGAAGGGAAAGAGUCUGCAGCCAUGAGCACAUUGUGAGUGUUGGGUUGGGAUGCAGCACAAUGGUGUGCAAUGAGAACCAAAAGGCUGCAAUGAUGAUCAACUAGACUAGAGUCUCUGAUAAAUCAUGAAGAUAUCUUCACAGUGCUCUGUACAGUUCAUAUUG